GCCUAACCCAGUAUAAAAGGGGCUGCUUGCCAGAGUUCAGAUCCUAAAAGAAACUGGCUCAACCAGACUCUUCAUGUGGUGUUUAGUGAGAUCUACCUCAACCAAUAGUAUUGAUCGUAUGAUUGGCACUCAUGCAAAUAGAGGAAUCCAAAGCCAUCAUCCUAGUCUGAGAUACUGCAAGUUCUUCACUAACCAUGGAUUGAACUCAGGGCCUUACUGCAUGCUGGGCAAGUGUUCUACCAGGGAUCUAUACAGACAGCCUGAACAGCAAGUCGUUUCCAUUGCUUUCAAAUUCAAGGUGGCCGAGUGGGUAAAGCCUGAUACUGGAACCCACAUGAGACCAGAUACAACAGUGCACAUCUGGAAUCCCAGCCCACCUAGAGGACAGGAGGCAAAAAGAGGAAAUCUUUGCAGGCUGCAGCAACAGCCAGAGGCUGUCUCACAAGAAAAAGUUGAGGACAGAUACCCAGACUGUCCUCUGAACCACCCAUGCCAAAAUGGCAGGCACAGCUUUGCACCAACAUGAGAAAGCUGCCAACUCAUUUUUUAUAAAUUAAAGUUGCUCUUAGAA